ACGGGAGGCAGCAGUGAGGAAUAUUGGUCAAUGGGCGAGAGCCUGAACCAGCCAAGUAGCGUGAAGGAUGACUGCCCUAUGGGUUGUAAACUUCUUUUGUUCGGGAAUAAAGUGCCGUACGUGUACGGUUUUGUAUGUACCGUUCGAAUAAGCAUCGGCUAAUUCCGUGCCAGCAGCCGCGGUAAUACGGAAGAUGCGAGCGUUAUCCGGAUUUAUUGGGUUUAAAGGGAGCGUAGGCGGUAUGUUAAGUCAGCGGUCAAAUGUCAGUGCCCAACAUUGGCCUGCCGUUGAUACUGGCGUACUUGAAUACACACAAGGAAGGUGGAAUUCGUCGUGUAGCGGUGAAAUGCUUAGAUAUGACGAAGAACUCCGAUUGCGAAGGCAGCCCUCUGGAGUGCGAUUGACGCUGAGGCUCGAAAGCGCGGGUAUCAAACAGGAUUAGAUACCCUGGUA
rnacentral:rRNA from 1 species